GCAAGUCGAACGUGAAGCCUUCAUUGACUACUUCGGUAUGAUCUGUUGGUGGAAAGUGGCGAACGGGUGAGUAACACGUGGGUGACCUGCCUCGAAGUGGGGGAUAACCAUUGGAAACGAUGGCUAAUACCGCAUGGCUUUGUUAAAGUGGGAACUUUGACAAAUAAAGCUCUGGCGCUUUGAGAGGGGCCCGCGUCCGAUUAGCUAGUUGGUGGGGUAAUGGCCCACCAAGGCGACGAUCGGUAGCUGGUCUGAGAGGACGAUC
rnacentral:rRNA from 1 species